rnacentral:rRNA from 1 species
AACGAACGCUGGCGGCAUGCCUAACACAUGCAAGUCGAACGAGACCUUCGGGUCUAGUGGCGCACGGGUGCGUAACGCGUGGGAACCUGCCCUUAGGUUCGGUAUAACUCCCCGAAAGGGGUGCUAAUACCGGAUAAUGUCUUCGGACCAAAGAUUUAUCGCCUUUGGAUGGGCCCGCGUUGGAUUAGCUAGUUGGUAGGGUAAAAGCCUACCAAGGCGACGAUGCAUAGCUGGUCUGAGAGGAUGAUCAGCCACACUGGGACUGAGACACGGCCCAGACUCCUACGGGAGGCAGCAGUGGGGAAUAUUGGACGAUGGGCGAAAGCCUGAUACAGCAAUGCCGCGUGAGUGAUGAAGGCCUUAGGGUUGUAAAGCUCUUUUACCCGGGAUGAUAAUGACAGUACCGGGAGAAUAAGCACCGGCUAACUCCGUG